ACCUUAGAGACCAAUUAAGUUUGUUAUUGGUAUGAGCUUUCGUGUACACGCAAACUUCUUCAGAUAUCUGAAGAAGUGUGCAUGCACACAAAAGCUCAUACCAAUAACAAACUUAGUUGGUCUCUAAGGU
rnacentral:miRNA from 1 species